AGAGUUUGAUCAUGGCUCAGAACGAACGCUGGCGGCAGGCUUAACACAUGCAAGUCGAGCGCCCCGCAAGGGGAGCGGCAGACGGGUGAGUAACGCGUGGGAAUCUACCGUGCCCUACGGAAUAGCUCCGGGAAACUGGAAUUAAUACCGUAUACGCCCUACGGGGGAAAGAUUUAUCGGGGUAUGAUGAGCCCGCGUUGGAUUAGCUAGUUGGUGGGGUAAAGGCCUACCAAGGCGACGAUCCAUAGCUGGUCUGAGAGGAUGAUCAGCCACAUUGGGACUGAGACACGGCCCAAACUCCUACGGGAGGCAGCAGUGGGGAAUAUUGGACAAUGGGCGCAAGCCUGAUCCAGCCAUGCCGCGUGAGUGAUGAAGGUCUUAGGAUUGUAAAGCUCUUUCACCGGUGAAGAUAAUGACGGUAACCGGAGAAGAAGCCCCGGCUAACUUCGUGCCAGCAGCCGCGGUAAUACGAAGGGGGCUAGCGUUGUUCGGAAUUACUGGGCGUAAAGCGCACGUAGGCGGAUAUUUAAGUCAGGGGUGAAAUCCCAGAGCUCAACUCUGGAACUGCCUUUGAUACUGGGUAUCUUGAGUAUGGAAGAGGUGAGUGGAAUUCCGAGUGUAGAGGUGAAAUUCGUAGAUAUUCGGAGGAACACCAGUGGCGAAGGCG
rnacentral:rRNA from 1 species